UGGCUUCCAUGGCAUUCUCAAGUUCUCAAUUCCACAUUUACUUACGUAAUGUAUUUGUAUAGGCUUGUAUGUGCACAAAUUACGCAAUCACGUGCCUUUAUUGUUGGAUGGUGAAUGAUUGCAUGCAUUGAAUGUAUUGAAUUCUAACUCUUGUUCUUUCGUCAAGGUUGUGAGAGAAAAUGAUGCUAAAAGCCCGACUCGGAUUUCUUUGCUAAAAAUUAUGCAUCUGAAGUUGAGGCAUUUAAGUCCCUUGUUGGUGAAUCUGAUGGGGAGCUUCUAAAGGCCUUCAUUGAUAAAGUUACUUCAGGCAGCGAGGAUAGCAUCUCACCCAUAGUAUUGUCACCAAGUUCUGAUAAAUCCCAUCGAACUUGGUUUCAGGACCAAACUGUGAAAUUGGUUUUCCAGCAUUUGAUAGCAGGGGUCAGGCAGUUGGCCAGAGCAUCUUGGCAGAUUUCUAAGGUAGUGAGUGCACGAGCAAUGAGUUGGCUUACAUGUUUUUGCUUUUGUCAUGCUAAUGGAUGGCUGCUUACAGAUAGACACAUCACAUGUGGUUUAAUACUGAUUUCCCACUUAUAUAUUUUCUGUUCUGCUAACUUGUCAAAUUCUUACCAUAAGAGUCACUGAGGGUGAUUUUGACGUUGCUUAUUUUUCAAGAGAAAUGGUGCAAAAAUAAGCAGAAAUAUGUAAAAGCCAAACCAUCCAUAUAUAAGGAGGGAGUUCGUUGUAAAAGAAUAUAGUAAAAUUGAAUUAUAAUUGGGAAUUUGGGAUAACUACUAAGUACUAUACAAGAGUACUCACAAAAUGUAAUUUA